rnacentral:rRNA from 1 species
UAGUUUGACUGGGGCGGUCUCCUCCUAAAGAGUAACGGAGGAGCACGAAGGUUGGCUAAUCCUGGUCGGACAUCAGGAGGUUAGUGCAAUGGCAUAAGCCAGCUUGACUGCGAGCGUGACGGCGCGAGCAGGUGCGAAAGCAGGUCAUAGUGAUCCGGUGGUUCUGAAUGGAAGGGCCAUCGCUCAACGGAUAAAAGGUACUCCGGGGAUAACAGGCUGAUACCGCCCAAGAGUUCAUAUCGACGGCGGUGUUUGGCACCUCGAUGUCGGCUCAUCACAUCCUGGGGCUGAAGUAGGUCCCAAGGGUAUGGCUGUUCGCCAUUUAAAGUGGUACGCGAGCUGGGUUUAGAACGUCGUGAGACAGUUCGGUCCCUAUCUGCCGUGGGCGCUGGAGAACUGAGGGGGGCUGCUCCUAGUACGAGAGGACCGGAGUGGACGCAUCACUGGUGUUCGGGUUGUCAUGCCAAUGGCACUGCCCGGUAGCUAAAUGCGGAAGAGAUAAGUGCUGAAAGCAUCUAAGCACGAAACUUGCCCCGAGAUGAGUUCUCCCUGAGACUUAGAGUCUCCUGAAGGAACGUUGAAGACGACGACGUUGAUAGGCCGGGUGUGUAAGCGCAGCGAUGCGUUGAGCUAACCGGUACUAAUGAACCGUGAGGCUUAACCUUACAACGCCGAAG